ensembl:lncRNA
GGGUGGUUGCCUGGAGACCAUUGUGGUGUACGUCACUGGGAGCCAAGUGCACAGCAAUCUGUGCCCUGGGACCGGAGUGAGCCAUCGGGACCAGACGUCACUGGGCUGCGCCACCAUGGCCUCACACUUGCUGGCAGUUUAGCAGUUAUAUCUUCAAGAAACAGAAUUCAUUGUAGGAGUUCACACAAAUGUUGGAAGGACUAAAGAAGCAAUUGCUGUGUGGAUCUGCUUGGAAUGAUUUUCAGAAUAAUAUAGAAGAGCCCAUGAGGCAGCUGUUCCCCUGAGGCAGCCUCUGGAAGCAGCAGUCAGAGUCUGGUGGUCCUCCUGCUAUGGCAGCAGCCUCUGGACCCCCUGGAGCAAGAGGAUAGACAGAUCCACAGUUCUUCCAUCCAGGCUCAAAGUCACCUCCACCACUGUCACUGCUUGCUGUCCCACCAACGUAGCAGCACGAAGGAAUCUGGGAAACUCUUGAAGGAAAAUGACCCUUUAGCCAAGACUGACUACCAGAACCUGGGUGAGAAAGAGCUCUCUCCAGCACAGAACAUAAUUUGUAUCUAGGACCCCGGCUGUGAGAAGGUCUGGAAAAUUGAGCUUUACUGUUCAACCUCUACAAAAAAACCAAAAAACAAAAAACUGUAGGUUGGGAGAGCAACACAAAUAUUGUACAGCUGGAUAUACAAUCCUAGAUUAAACAAUUUUUUCACCUGGGAGAUUUGGAAGGCAUUGCUCCAUUAUCUUCUAAUUUCUAGUUCAUUGUUGAAAAUUUGAACACAAUUUUAAUUUCUUUAUGAGAAACUUUCUUUUUUUCUCAUUCUGGAAGCUCUGAGCAUCUACUUUUUCUUCUUGAUAUUCUAAGAGGUUAUAAUGAUGGGUAUUUGUGCAGGUGGUCUUUCAUUCCUUGUGCUGGGCACCCAGUGGGCCCUGUCAAUCCUAACCUUAUGAUCUGUGCUAUGGACUGAAAUUUGUCUCCCUAAAAUACAUGUGUUGAAACCUACCUGCAAUGUGACGGUAUUAGGAGGUGCAAACUUUGGGAAAUGCUAUAUCUUGAGGGUGGAGCCCUCAUGAAUGGGAAGAGAGCCCUUACAAAAGAGACACCAGAGAGCUAGAAGGCAGAUGUCAGUGAACCAGGAAGCAGGCUCUCCCAGACACUGAACCUGCCAGCACCACGAACUUGGACUUCCCAGCCUCCAAAAUGUGCAAAAGAAAUGUUUGUUGAUUAUAAGCCAUUCAGUUAGAGAGGACUGCCUCAAUGUUUGGUGACUGCUGGCUGUCAAUUCAUAUUUAAGAAUGGAAGAAUGGAGUGUUCCUAUUUACAAUAGCCAAGACUUGGAAGCAACAUAAAUGUUUUUGAUGAAUGGAUAAAAGGAUCUGGUACUUAUAUACAAUGUAAUACUACUUACCUAUAAAAAAGAAUGAAAUAAUGCCAUUUGCAGCAACAUGGAUGGACUUAGAGAUUAUCAUACUAAGUGAAGUAAGUCAAAGACAAAUAUCAUACGACAUCACUUGUUGUUGUUCAGUCCCUUAAUUUGUGUCUGACUCUGCGAGCCUAUGGACUACAGCACACUAGUCUUCUCUGUUCUCCGCUAUCUCCUGGAGUUUGCUCAGAUUCAUGUCCACUGAGUUGGUGAUGCUAUCUAACUGUCUCAUCCUCUGCUCCCUGCUUCUCCUUUGCCUUCAAUCUUUCCCAGCAUCAGGGUCUUUUCCAAUGAUAUCACUUAUAUGUGAAAUCUAAAGUAUGAUACAAAUGAACUUAUUUA